rnacentral:rRNA from 1 species
CCUACGGGGGGCUGCAGUCGAGAAUAAUUCACAAUGGGGGCAACCCUGAUGGUGCAACGCCGCGUGGAGGAUGACGGUCUUCGGAUUGUAAACUCCUGUCAUCCGGGAGUAAGACCUGGCUGUGAAUAGCAGACAGGGUUGAUAGUACCGGAAGAGGAAGGGACGGCUAACUUCGUGCCAGCAGCCGCGGUAAUACGAAGGUCCCGAGCGUUGUUCGGAAUCACUGGGCGUAAAGGGAGCGUAGGCGGCGUGGUAAGUCAGAUGUGAAAUCCCGG